CGGCCCAGACUCCUACGGGAGGCAGCAGUGGGGAAUAUUGCACAAUGGGGGAAACCCUGAUGCAGCCAUGCCGCGUGUGUGAAGAAGGCCUUCGGGUUGUAAAGCACUUUCAGCGAGGAGGAAAGGGUGUAAGUUAAUACCUUACAUCUGUGACGUUACUCGCAGAAGAAGCACCGGCUAACUCCGUGCCAGCAGCCGCGGUAAUACGGAGGGUGCGAGCGUUAAUCGGAAUUACUGGGCGUAAAGCGUGCGCAGGCGGUUUGUUAAGCGAGAUGUGAAAGCCCCGGGCUCAACCUGGGAACCGCAUUUCGAACUGGCAAACUAGAGUCUUGUAGAGGGGGGUAGAAUUCCAGGUGUAGCGGUGAAAUGCGUAGAGAUCUGGAGGAAUACCGGUGGCGAAGGCGGCCCCCUGGACAAAGACUGACGCUCAGGCACGAAAGCGUGGGGAGCAAACAGGAUUAGAUACCCUGGUAGUCCACGCCGUAAACGAUGUCUACUCGGAGUUUGGUGUCUUGAACACUGGGCUCUCAAGCUAACGCAUUAAGUAGACCGCCUGGGGAGUACGGCCGCAAGGUUAAAACUCAAAUGAAUUGACGGGGGCCCGCACAAGCGGUGGAGCAUGUGGUUUAAUUCGAUGCAACGCGAAGAACCUUACCUACUCUUGACAUCCACAGA
rnacentral:rRNA from 1 species